UCCUCGAUAGCUCAGUUGGUAGAGCAGUAGACUGUUAAUCUAUUGGUCCCAGGUUCAAGUCCUGGUCGAGGAGCCA
rnacentral:tRNA from 1 species